UACGUAGGGACCGAGCGUUGUCCGGAAUCAUUGGGCGUAAAGAGCGUGUAGGCGGCCACUUAAGUCCUGCGUGAAAUCUUGCGGCUCAACCGCAAGCGGUCGUGGGAAACUGGGUGGCUAGAGUGCGGGAGAGGAGAGUGGAAUUCCUGGUGUAGCGGUGGAAUGCGCAGAUAUCAGGAAGAACACCCGUGGCGAAGGCGGGCUCUCGUGGAAGCGACAACUGACGGCUGAGAGACGAAAGCGUGGGGAGCAAACAGGAUUAGAA
rnacentral:rRNA from 1 species